UUCGCAAUGCCCGAAAGGGUGACGAAGCGACGCCGCGUGUGGGAAGAAGGCCUUCGGGUUGUAAACCACUGUCGGGAGUUAAGAAAUGCAAGGAUAUGAAUAGUGUCUUUGCUUGACUAAGGCUCCGGAGGAAGCCACGGCUAACUCUAUGCCAGCAGCCGCGGUAAUACAGAGGCGGCAAGCGUUGUUCGGAAUUAUUGGGCGUAAAGAGCACGUAGGCGGCUUUGCAAGUCAGUUGUGAAAGCCUUCCGCUUAACGGAAGAACAGCAGCUGAUACUACAGAGCUUGAGUACGGGAGGGGAGAGUGGAACUUCUGGUGGAGCGGUGAAAUGCGUAGAUAUCAGAAGGAACGCCGGCGGCGAAAGCGAUUCUCUGGUCCGAAACUGACGCUGAGUGUGCGAAAGCUAGGGGAUCAAACGGGAUUAGAUACCCCGGUAGUCCUAGCCGUAAACGAUGGGCACUAAGUAGAGGGGUUUU
rnacentral:rRNA from 1 species